rnacentral:ncRNA from 1 species
GAGAGCCGGGUGCGGUGAAAGUCGCAUGCCCGGUUCGGAGGGGGGCGGAUGGAAAAGGACGCAAAGCGUACCUCGCCAGCCGCCUACCCUAC